rnacentral:misc_RNA from 1 species
UCUCCCGUGAGGGAGCAGUCUUGCCUGACAAAUAAAACAGACAACGGGGGUUGCGUUCGUUUCCCCACUUAAGGGAACAGCUCAAGCCACGAACUGACGACGACCAUGCAUCACCUGUCUAGCACCCUCGAAGGCUGACUCGGUUUCCCGAGCCGUGCAGCUAGAUUUCUAACCUUGGUAAGGUUCUUCGCUUACCGACGAAUUAAGCCACAUGAUCCACCGCUUGUGCGAAUUCCCGUCUAUUCCUUUGAGUUUUAGUCUUGCGACCGUACUACCCAGGCGGUUCUCUUAACGCGUUAGCUACGCCACGAAGAGGGUCGAUACUCCUCAUAGCUAGAGAACAUGGUUUAGGGCGUGGACUA